rnacentral:tRNA from 1 species
GGGGGCAUAGCUCAGCUGGGAGAGCGCCUGCCUUGCACGCAGGAGGUCAGCGGUUCGAUCCCGCUUGGCUCCACCA